GCCGCCUAGCUCAGUCGGUAGAGCACAAGGCUCUUAACCUUGUGGUCCUGGGUUCAAGUCCCAGGGUGGGCG
rfam:Ipomoea nil DNA, scaffold: scaffold3056, cultivar: Tokyo-kokei standard.